rnacentral:rRNA from 1 species
AUGAGAGGCAUAUUUUGGAAUAGCAGAGGUCUUAAGGACUUGGCUAAAAGAAGAUUCCUGGCUGAGUCAGCUCUAGAGCAGAAGCUAGAUUUUGUUGCUCUAUCUGAAACGGGUAGAGAUAACUUUGCACCGCAGUUUCUCUCCUCACUAGUUGGUGGUAUUGAUUUCGAUUGGCAUUGCCUACCUCCGCGAGGAAGAUCGGGGGGUAUCUUACUAGGUGUGAGAUGCGAUUCACUUGAAGUCCGUAGUGUAGUGAUGGGUGACUUCGCGGUAAAGUUUCGAGUUAGGUCUAAGACAGAUGGCUUUAACUGGGCUUUGGUGGCGGUAUAUGGUGCCGCGCAGCCCGAGUUUAAAGCGGAGUUUCUAGCAGACCUCGUUAGAAUUUGUGGGUCAAAACAACUACCGAUUUUAGUUGGAGGUGAUUUCAAUAUCAUCCGGAGGCGAGAGGAGAAGAACAAUGAUAACUUUGACGGCAGAUGGUCCUUCAUGUUCAACACCAUUAUUGAAAGUUUGGAUCUGAGAGAGAUAGAGCUCUCGGGCCGAAAGUUUACAUGGGCCAACGCUCUGCCAAACCCAACCUACGAAAAACUUGAUCGGGUUCUUGCAAGCGUGGAGUGGGAACAAAAAUUCCCGUUGGUCACGGUGCAAGCUCUUUCAAGGGGAAUAUCUGAUCAUACCCCAUUGUUCAUGGACUCAGGGGAGCCGAACCACGUGGGUAACAAGAACACCUUCUCAUUUGAGACGUCAUGGUUCGAACGUGAGGGGUUCUUAGAUUUGAUAGCCAGGGAAUGGGGUAAAGAUGUUCGAGGCAAAACUCCUAUUGAGCGAUGGCAGAAUAAGAUUAGGAAUUUGAGAAGCUUCUUGCGGGGUUGGGCUAAGCACCUUAGCGGUGUGUAUAAGAUUGAAAAGGAUAGACUCCUUUCUCUUGUACAUGACCUGGACAUAAAAGCCGAGCCCAAUAGUUUAUUACCCGCAGAGCUUCAGGUUAAAAAUGAGGCGGAGCAGAGGUUAAAAGAACUGCUCCGCGAAGAAGAACUGAAGUGGGCUUUACGUGCUAAAGUACGUAGAGUGGUCCAGGGGGACGCGAAUACUCAGUUCUUUCAUUUAAUUGCUAAUGGCAAGCACAGAAAGAAGCGAAUCUUUCAGCUUGAGCAGGACGAGGGUACGAUUUUAGGUCAGGAUAACCUAAAAACGUACAUCACUGACUACUAUAAGCAGUUAUUUGGUCCACCGGAGGAUAAUACGGUGUCCCUCGAUGAGUCCAGAACUGAGGAUGUACCUCAGCUUUCGGCUGCUGAUAAUGAGCUUCUGGUUGCCCCGUUUUCAGAGAAGGAGGUUUUUGAUGCUAUUGCACAAAUGAAAAAUAAUAAGGCUCCCGGACCGGAUGGUUUCCCGGCCGAGUUCUAUAAGAAGUGCUGGCACAUUAUUAAGGGGGAUUUACUACCUAUGUUUCAGGAUCUAUUCUCUGCACAGCUUCAACUAUUCCACUUGAAUUUUGGGGCUAUCACACUACUGCCUAAGAAGACGGAUGCGGUCAGAAUUGAGCAAUUCAGGCCGAUUUGUCUCCUUAAUGUUAGUUUCAAAAUCUUCACCAAGGUCGGGACCAACAGGCUCACACAGAUUGCGCAUUCUGUGGUGCAACAGUCCCAAACCGCGUUCAUGCCAGACAGAAACAUCCUAGAAGGGGUGGUAGUCCUGCAUGAAACGCUCCAUGAAAUCCACUCCAAAAAAUUAGAUGGAGUAAUUUUUAAAGUGGAUUUCGAGAAAGCGUAUGAUAAGGUAAAGUGGCCAUUUCUCCAACAAUCUUUGCGUAUGAAAGGGUUUGAUGAAGCCUGGCGCAGACAGGUACAGUCAUUUACGCAAAAAGGUAGUGUGGGAAUUAAAGUUAAUGAUGACAUAGGUCAUUACUUCCAGACACAUAAAGGCCUACGACAAGGAGACCCGAUGUCCCCUAUCUUGUUUAACAUUGUGGUAGAUAUGUUGGCAGUUCUGAUAGGAAGGGCUAAGGAUAAUGGUCAAGUAGGUGGAUUGGUGCCUCAUCUUGUUGAUGGAGGUAUCUCUAUCCUACAAUACGCUGAUGAUACAAUCAUCUUUAUGGAGCAUGACUUGGUUAAGGCAAGAAAUAUGAAGCUGGUUUUAUGCCUAUUUGAACAAUUGACCGGGUUAAAGAUAAACUUUCAUAAGAGCGAGCUGUUCUGUUUUGGUAGGGCCAAAGAUGAACAGGACGCUUAUAGGCAAUUGUUUGGAUGUGAGUUGGGAGAGCUACCUUUCUCAUACUUGGGGAUUCCUAUCCACCAUCGUAGGCUAACAAACAGAGAAUGGAAGUGCAUUGAGGACCGAUUUGAGAAGAAACUGAGCUGCUGGAAGGGCAAGCUCAUGUCAUAUGGAGGCCGGUUAAUCCUAAUUAACUCGGUACUCACAAGUUUGCCGAUGUUUCUUCUUUCGUUCUUUGAGGUACCAGUUGGUGUUAGGAAGAGACUGGACUUCUAUAGAUUGCGGUUCUUCUGGCAGGGUGAUGAGCUUAAAAGAAAAUAUAGGCUUGCUAAGUGGGAUAUCAUUUGUAGACCGAAGGACCAAGGGGGUCUAGGUAUUGAGAAUCUCGAAAUUAAGAAUAAAUGCCUUCUUAGCAAGUGGCUGUGGAAGCUUUCGUCGGAGACUGAUGCUAUGUGGGCACAGAUCCUUCGCGGCAAGUACCUCCAGUCAAAAACUUUGUCACAGGUAUCUGUAAGGCCGACUGACUCACCUUUCUGGAAGGGUCUCAUGAAGGUCAAGCAGGCAUUGUUUAAUAGGACAAAGUUCGUUGUUGGAAACGGCACAAGUACACGUUUCUGGGAGGAUACUUGGCUCGGUGACACACCCUUGGCCAUCCAAUAUCCCUCUUUGUAUCGCAUUGUUCAACGAAAGGAGGUGGCCGUUGCUUCGGUCAUCCAAUCUACCUCCCUUAAUAUUCAAUUCAGACGAGUGCUAGAGGGCAAUCGUUGGGAAGAAUGGCUCCAUCUAGUUAGGAGACUGAUGGACAUCCAGCUUUCUCAACAACCCGAUGAAUUGCGCUGGAAGUUGACUAAGUCUGGAGUAUUCACAGUCAAAUCAAUGUAUAUUGAUGUUAUUAAUUCGAACUCCAUUCCUACGUCCAAACAUGUUUGGGAUGUCAAAGUUCCUUUGAAAAUAAAAGUGUUUAUGUGGUUUGUCCAUAAACAAGCAAUUUUAACUAAGGAUAACUUGAUGAAGCGUAAUUGGACAGGACCUACUAGGUGUAGUUUCUGCGAUCGGGAUGAGACUAUUAAACACCUCUUUUUUGAUUGCCCGCUGGCCAAGGUACUCUGGCAGACGGUCCACAUUGCUUUCAAUAUCAAACCACCGAAUUUUGUUAAUGCUUUAUUUGGGACAUGGCUUAAUGGGAUUGAGCCUAACUUAGCGAGGCAUAUUCGGGUUGGGGUUUGUGCUUUGAUGUGGACUAUCUGGAAUUGCAGAAACGAUCUGGUCUUUAACAGAAUAUCAUGUAUACAUUUUUUGCAGGUUUUAUUCCGGACUAUGGCUCUGAUCCGUUCGUGGUCGCUACUCACCCAGACGGAGGCCAGGGAGCAUUUGGUUACUGGGUCUAUCCGUUGGGAGAUGGUAGCUCGGGUUAUCUUCAACCGGUUUGGAUGGCGGUCAUGUAAUAGGAUAGGCAUUUAG